AGUAAGGAAUAUUGGUCAAUGGACGCAAGUCUGAACCAGCCAUGCCGCGUGGAGGAUGAAGGUCCUCUGGAUUGUAAACUUCUUUUAUCUGGGACGAAAAAGGGUCUUUCUAGAUCAACUGACGGUACCAGAUGAAUAAGCACCGGCUAACUCCGUGCCAGCAGCCGCGGUAAUACGGAGGGUGCAAGCGUUAUCCGGAUUCACUGGGUUUAAAGGGUGCGUAGGUGGGUUGGUAAGUCAGUGGUGAAAUCCCCGAGCUUAACUUGGGAACUGCCAUUGAUACUAUCAGUCUUGAAUACCGUGGAGGUCAGCGGAAUAUGUCAUGUAGCGGUGAAAUGCUUAGAUAUGACAUAGAACACCAAUUGCGAAGGCAGCUGGCUACACGAAUAUUGACACUGAGGCACGAAAGCGUGGGGAUCAAA
rnacentral:rRNA from 1 species